rnacentral:snoRNA from 1 species
UUUUAGUGAUGAUAAAACAUAAUUUAUUCAGUUCUGCUUCUGAACACAGAAAGAAGAUAACCUCAUUUACCAAAAGCUCAAAUUCUGAGAU